rnacentral:rRNA from 1 species
AGUGAACGCUGGCGGUAGGCCUAACACAUGCAAGUCGAACGGCAGCACAGUAAGAGCUUGCUCUUACGGGUGGCGAGUGGCGGACGGGUGAGGAAUACAUCGGAAUCUACUUUUUCGUGGGGGAUAACGUAGGGAAACUUACGCUAAUACCGCAUACGACCUACGGGUGAAAGCAGGGGAUCUUCGGACCUUGCGCGAUUGAAUGAGCCGAUGUCGGAUUAGCUAGUUGGCGGGGUAAAGGCCCACCAAGGCGACGAUCCGUAGCUGGUCUGAGAGGAUGAUCAGCCACACUGGAACUGAGACACGGUCCAGACUCCUACGGGAGGCAGCAGUGGGGAAUAUUGGACAAUGGGCGCAAGCCUGAUCCAGCCAUACCGCGUGGGUGAAGAAGGCCUUCGGGUUGUAAAGCCCUUUUGUUGGGAAAGAAAAGCAGCAGGUUAAUACCCCGCUGUUCUGACGGUACCCAAAGAAUAAGCACCGGCUAACUUUGU